GAACGGUCGGCAGGCGAUCCGCGUCGGUCGUGCGAGGGUGGUAUGGUUCCCCCAGAGGCCGGUUCUUGUGCUGCCUACCCCUUCAGGGGAAUCGGGCCACUUGAUGUAAGCCUCCAUCCGGCGCCUUCCAACGGGCGCAGGAGGACAACAGGGCACCCCCCGCGUUCCACCGAUCCUCCUUGGUCGCGUGGCCCGCGGGGACGUGCGACGCUCUCGGACCCAGCGAACGCCGUGGGCGAGGACUCACGUCCCAGUCCCGAAAAGAAGCUCCGAUAUAAUGCAAGACGGCCGCUCCCGCCCCCCCGGGGGCGAGGCGCGGCGUCGCAGAGGAAUG
rnacentral:misc_RNA from 1 species